rnacentral:rRNA from 1 species
AUUGUAGUCAUAUGCUUGUCUCAAAGAUUAAGCCAUGCAUGUCUAAGUAUAAGCAAUCUAUACAGUGAAACUGCGAAUGGCUCAUUAAAUCAGUUAUCGUUUAUUUGAUAGUACCUUACUACUUGGAUAACCGUGGUAAUUCUAGAGCUAAUACAUGCUAAAAACCCCGACCUCUGGAAGGGGUGUAUUUAUUAGAUAAAAAACCAAUGCCUUCGGGCUCCUUGGUGAUUCAUGAUAACUUUACGAAUCGCAUGGCCUUGUGCCGGCGAUGGUUCAUUCAAAUUUCUGCCCUACCAACUUUCGAUGGUAGGAUAGUGGCCUACCAUGGUUUCAACGGGUAACGGGGAAUUAGGGUUCUAUUCCGGAGAGGGAGCCUGAGAAACGGCUACCACAUCCAAGGAAGGCAGCAGGCGCGCAAAUUACCCAAUCCCGACACGGGGAGGUAGUGACAAUAAAUACUGAUACAGGGCCCUUUCGGGUCUUGUAAUUGGAAUGAGUACAAUUUAAAUCCAUUAACGAGGAACAAUUGGAGGGCAAGUCUGGUGCCAGCAGCCAGGGUGUAGUCAUAUGCUUGUCUCAUUGCAAGUCUGGUGCCAGCAGCC